AUCAGCCUUUUGGGUGUGAUUUUGUGGAGCGUGAGGAGUUAAACGCCUUCAUGCCUGCAUAUUCGUGCACUUUGGGUGUACUUGCCCGUGUGGUUGGAUAACAUCCAUUUUGGUUAUCAAAAAAUGACUGGAGGAAUGUAGCUUCGAUCUCGUAUUGAAGUGUUAUAGCCUUCGGUAGAUGUGAUGAUCGAGAUUGAGGAUUGCAACGGAUACCCUUCGGGGCUACCUGUCUGGUCUCUGAUCGUUGCUCUGGUGCCGAAAGCUUGCUUACGGUUAUCAAAGUCGAUGGUCAAUAGGUUAGAACGGGUUAAAUUCGUUAAGGAUGUUGACGUAAUGGCUUU
rnacentral:rRNA from 1 species